GACAGAGGUGCCGAGCGUUGAGGCGGAAUCACUGGGCUUAAAGCGUGUGUAGGCGGGUGCCUAAGUACCUUGUGAAAUCCCACGGCUCAACCGUGGAACUGCUUGGUAUACUGGGUAUCUUGAGCCACUUAGGGGCAACCGGAACAAACGGUGGAGCGGUGAAAUGCGUAGAUAUCGUUUGGAACGCCAAUGGUGAAAACAGGUUGCUGGGAGUGUGCUGACGCUGAGGCGCGAAAGCUAGGGGAGCAAACGGG
rnacentral:rRNA from 1 species